UGUGCAGGAUCAUAAGGAUGGUCCUUUGAAGGUAUUUCCAGAAUUGCUGGAACUGGCUUGUUAUAGCUAUCUACCAAAAACCUUAUCAUAUUUGCAACAUAUUGACUAAUCAGCACGAUAGCAAUAUCCUCCCUUGUUGUGAAAUCUUUAAAUGCAUCUUCAAUUUGUUUCACAGUUGUUUUUGAGUCCACAAGGAGGUAAUUUGACUUCCGUCUCAGGUCAACAUUACCAACUCCAGCAAGCAAAAAUCCAACUACUGAGUCCUCAUCUGCAAUCAUUGCAAUAAGUGCAGAGUUGCUAGUUGGGAUUUGAGCUCUGUUAGCCAUUUAUGAUGAAGAUGUAACUUCGAUCCUUACGAAGGCAAUGUGAUCAGUAACACACAGAACAGAAAUCUUCUCCAGCUGAGAAAG
rnacentral:misc_RNA from 1 species